rnacentral:rRNA from 1 species
AAUCAACGCUGGCGGCGUGCCUCAGACAUGCAAGUCGAACGAUUAAGACUUCCUUCGGGAGGUGCAUAAAGUGGCGCACGGGUGAGUAACACGUAAGUAACCUACCCUCGAGUGGGGAAUAACGUUCGGAAACGAACGCUAAUACCGCAUAACGCAGCGGCACCGCAAGGUGACAGUUGUUAAAGGAGCAAUCCGCUUGAGGAGGAGCUUGCGGCAGAUUAGCUAUUUGGUAAGGUAAUGGCUUACCAAGGCUACGAUCUGUAUCCGGUCUAAGAGGACGGUCGGACACACGUACACUGAAUAACGGUGCAGACUCCUACGGGAGGCAGCAUGCGGGAAUUUUGGGCAAUGGGCGAAAGCCUAACGCAGCCAUGCCGCGUGGAUGAUGAAGGUCUCAGGAUUGUAAAAUCCUUUCACCGGUGAAGAUAAUGACUGUAGCCGGAGAAGAAGCCCCGGCUAACUUCGUGCCAGCAGCCGCCGUAAAAC